rnacentral:rRNA from 1 species
CUACGGGUGGCACCAGUGGGGAAUAUUGGACAAUGGGGGAAACCCUGAUCCAGCAAUGCCGCGUGGAGGAUGACACUUUUCGGAGCGUAAACUCCUUUUAUACAGGAAGAAGAUGACGGUACUAUAUGAAUAAGCGCCGGCUAACUCCGUGCCAGCAGCCGCGGUAAUACGGAGGGCGCAAGCGUUACUCGGAAUCACUGGGCGUAAAGAGCGUGUAGGCGGAUUAAAAAGUCAGAAGUGAAAUCCUAUAGCUUAACUAUAGAACUGCUUCUGAAACUCUUAAUCUAGAAUGUGGGAGAGGUAGAUGGAAUUUCUGGUGUAGGGGUAAAAUCCGUAGAGAUCAGAAGGAAUGCCGAUUGCGAAGGCGAUCUACUAGAACAUUAUUGACGCUGAGACGCGAAAGCGUGGGGAGCAAACAGGAUUAGAUACCCCCGUAGUC